UACAGGGGGGGCAAGCGUUGUUCGGAAUUACUAGGCGUAAAGGGUCUGUAGGUGGCUUGCUAAGUCAGACGUGAAAUCCCUCAGCUUAACUGGGGAACUGCGUCUGAUACUGGCAAGCUUGAGUGCAGGAGAGGAACGCGGAAUUCCAGGUGUAGCGGUGAAAUGCGUAGAUAUCUGGAGGAACACCGGUGGCGAAGGCGGCGUUCUGGACUGCAACUGACACUGAGAGACGAAAGCCAGGGGAGCAAACGGG
rnacentral:rRNA from 1 species